GCCCGUUUGGCCAAGCGGUAAGGCGUCUCACUCGUAUUCAAAGCCCAAAUAUGAGCAUGAAUUUUGGUAAUGAGAAGAUCAACGGUUCGAUUCCGUUAAUGGGCA
rnacentral:tRNA from 1 species